CCGCAGCAGCCCCCUGUGCCUGUGCAGUCACCAGCCAGUCCCCUGAGAACUUUCCCCUCCAGCACCCGGGAAAAUGAGGCUUUGGCUCUAUUUAGGGUUCCUUACAGCAGCUUUGGAAGGUGUCCGGUCCCAGGUGUAGCUGGUGGAGUCGGGAGGGGAUGUGAAAAAGCCCGGAGACUCUCUCCGCCUCUCCUGCAAAGCCUCCGGCUUCACCUUCAGCAGCUAUCAUAUGAGCUGGGUCCGCCAGGCUCCCGGGAAGGGGCUCGAGUGGGUCUCACUCAUUUACACUGAUGGGAGCCAACAAGUUUACGCAGACUCAGUGAAAGGGAGAUUCACCAUCUCCAGAGACAACUCCAACAACCUGCUGUAUCUGCAGAUGACCGGCCUGAAGCCCGAGGACACCGCCCGGUAUCACUGUGCGAGAGACACAGUGAGGGGAAGCCGGACUGAGCUCAGACAAAAACCUGCCCUCGCUGGCUAAGGACAAACUCUCCGCUGGGGGCGCUGCAGUUCUACAGCUGGCAGCGGGGAGAGCCGUGAAAUUAAUUACUCCUCCCCUGAGCUGCCUCUCUGUGGCUCUCUCACACACACACAAAUGCAGACACUGGCUAACCGCACUAUUUGCAGAGACCAGCCCGCAACUUUCCCUUGUCCCUAAUACGCUCUGUGCCCCACACUCCGCUCCUCCCCAACUUUCCUCACCCCCCUCCACCUCCCAAUACCCCAGGCUGAUAGAACCAACAUUAAAGUGUAUGAAUUAAAACGUGUUAUGUAAACCCACCUCUAACAGCCAGGCUGAGGGUUUCCAAGCUGCCCUAGAGAUACGCAAAAA